rnacentral:rRNA from 1 species
CAGGACGAACGCUGGCGGCGUGCCUAAUACAUGCAAGUCGAGCGGACAGAUGGGAGCUUGCUCCCUGAUGUUAGCGGCGGACGGGUGAGUAACACGUGGGUAACCUGCCUGUAAGACUGGGAUAACUCCGGGAAACCGGGGCUAAUACCGGAUGGUUGUUUGAACCGCAUGGUUCAAACAUAAAAGGUGGCUUCGGCUACCACUUACAGAUGGACCCGCGGCGCAUUAGCUAGUUGGUGAGGUAAUGGCUCACCAAGGCAACGAUGCGUAGCCGACCUGAGAGGGUGAUCGGCCACACUGGGACUGAGACACGGCCCAGACUCCUACGGGAGGCAGCAGUAGGGAAUCUUCCGCAAUGGACGAAAGUCUGACGGAGCAACGCCGCGUGAGUGAUGAAGGUUUUCGGAUCGUAAAGCUCUGUUGUUAGGGAAGAACAAGUACCGUUCGAAUAGGGCGGUACCUUGACGGUACCUAACCAGAAAGCCACGGCUAACUACGUGCCAGCAGCCGCGGUAAUACGUAGGUGGCAAGCGUUGUCCGGAAUUAUUGGGCGUAAAGGGCUCGCAGGCGGUUUCUUAAGUCUGAUGUGAAAGCCCCCGGCUCAACCGGGGAGGGUCAUUGGAAACUGGGGAACUUGAGUGCAGAAGAGGAGAGUGGAAUUCCACGUGUAGCGGUGAAAUGCGUAGAGAUGUGGAGGAACCACCCAGUGGCGAAGGCGACUUCUUCUGGUCUGUAACUGACGCUGAGGAGCGAAAGCGUGGGGAGCGAACAGGAUUAGAUACCCUGGUAGUCCACGCCGUAAACGAUGAGUGCUAAGUGUUAGGGGGUUUCCGCCCCUUAGUGCUGCAGCUAACGCAUUAAGCACUCCGCCUGGGGAGUACGGUCGCAAGACUGAAACUCAAAGGAAUUGACGGGGGCCCGCACAAGCGGUGGAGCAUGUGGUUUAAUUCGAAGCAACGCGAAGAACCUUACCAGGUCUUGACAUCCUCUGACAAUCCUAGAGAUAGGACGUCCCCUUCGGGGGCAGAGUGACAGGUGGUGCAUGGUUGUCGUCAGCUCGUGUCGUGAGAUGUUGGGUUAAGUCCCGCAACGAGCGCAACCCUUGAUCUUAGUUGCCAGCAUUCAGUUGGGCACUCUAAGGUGACUGCCGGUGACAAACCGGAGGAAGGUGGGGAUGACGUCAAAUCAUCAUGCCCCUUAUGACCUGGGCUACACACGUGCUACAAUGGACAGAACAAAGGGCAGCGAAACCGCGAGGUUAAGCCAAUCCCACAAAUCUGUUCUCAGUUCGGAUCGCAGUCUGCAACUCGACUGCGUGAAGCUGGAAUCGCUAGUAAUCGCGGAUCAGCAUGCGCGGGGUGGAAAUACGUUCCCGGGCCUUGUACACACCGCCCGUCACACCACGAGAGUUUGUAACACCCGAAGUCGGUGAGGUAACCUUUUAGGAGCCAGCCGCCGAAGGUGGGACAGAUGAUUGGGGUGA